rnacentral:tRNA from 1 species
AGUUGUAGCUCAGCAAGGUCAGAGCGCUCGGUUUACCGAGGGGCGCAGGUUCGAUUCCUGCCAGCU